CUGAGAACGGCCCAGACUCCUACGGGAGGCAGCAGUAGGGAAUUUUCCACAAUGGACGAAAGUCUGAUGGAGCAACGCCGCGUGCAGGAUGAAGGCUCUAGGGUCGUAAACUGCUUUUAUCUGUGACGAAUAUGACGGUAGCAGAUGAAUAAGGAUCGGCUAACUCCGUGCCAGCAGCCGCGGUCAUACGGAGGAUCCAAGCGUUAUCCGGAAUUACUGGGCGUAAAGAGUUGCGUAGGUGGCAUGGUAAGUUGAUAGUGAAAGCGUCCGGCUCAACCGGAUACACAUUAUCAAAACUGCCAAGCUAGAGGACGAGAGAGGUUAUUGGAAUUCCUAGUGUAGGAGUGAAAUCCGUAGAUAUUAGGAGGAACACCGAUGGCGUAGGCAGAUAACUGGCUCGUUCCUGACACUAAGGCACGAAAGCGUGGGGAGCAAACGGGAUUAGAUACCCCGGUAGUCCACGCCGUAAACGAUGGAUGCUAGCUGUUAUGGGUAUCGACCCCCGUAGUAGCGAAGCUAACGCGUUAAGCAUCCCGCCUGUGGAGUACGGUCGCAAGACUAAAACAUAAAGGAAUUGACGGGGACCCGCACAAGCGGUGGAGCGUGUUGUUUAAUUCGAUGGUAAGCGAAGAACCUUACCCAGGUUUGACAUCCUUGGAAUUUUGCCGAAAGGCGAGAGUGCUUUAUUGAACCAAGUGACAGGUGUUGCAUGGCCGUCGUCAGCUCGUGUCGUGAGAUGUUUGGUUAAGUCCAUCAACGAGCGCAACCCUUGUGAGUAGUUGAAUUUUUCUACUCAGACUGCCCUGGCAACAGGGAGGAAGGGGGGGAUGAUGUCAGGUCAGUAUUACCCUUAUAUCUGGGGCUACAAACACGCUACAAUGGCCGGUACAAAGGGCAGCCAAGUCGCAA
rnacentral:rRNA from 1 species